GACGAACGCUGGCGGCGUGCUUAACACAUGCAAGUCGAACGGAAAGGCCCUGCUUUUGUGGUGUGCUCGAGUGGCGAACGGGUGAGUAACACGUGAGUAACCUGCCCUUGACUUUGGGAUAACUUCAGGAAACUGUGGCUAAUACCGGAUAGGAGCUCCUGCUGCAUGGUGGGGGUUGGAAAGUUUCGGCGGUUGGGGAUGGACUCGCGGCUUAUCAGCUUGUUGGUGGGGUAGUGGCUUACCAAGGCUUUGACGGGUAGCCGGCCUGAGAGGGUGACCGGCCACAUUGGGACUGAGAUACGGCCAAGACUCCUACGGGAGGCAGCAGUGGGGAAUAUUGCACAAUGGGCGGAAGCCUGAUGCAGCAACGCCGCGUGCGGGAUGACGGCCUUCGGGUUGUAAACCGCUUUCGCCUGUGACGAAGCGUGAGUGACGGUAAUGGGUAAAGAAGCACCGGCUAACUACGUG
rnacentral:rRNA from 1 species